rnacentral:tRNA from 1 species
CCCGGUGUGGCUCAAUGGUUGAGCAUCUGCCUUUGGCCCAGGGCGUGAUCCUGGAGGUCCUGGGAUCGAGUCCCACAUCGGGC